CAUACAUACAUACAUACACACACACUUACACAUUUACACAAAUCCCUUCUACUAAUAACUGACCAUUGAAAUAAUAAUAAUAAUAAUAAUAAUAGUAACUCAAUAUUAUCAAAAAUAAUGAUAAUGAACUAAAUAACAUGUUCUCUCCAUUCCAUAAUCCUCCUCAACACAAUACGGAUGAUGUGAAGAUGCCCUUUAAAUUUAAAUGGAGGAGGGAGGAAUGUGAAGAGCUUCUCUGGAACACAACUACAACAACAGAACAACUGUUGAGGGGAAUGUUGUUUCCCUUCUUUCAUUGGGAUGGGGGCUCACUCUCUUUGUCCCUUCCCUUCUCUUCCCUUCCUCCCCCUUCCAUCUUUGCAUGCAAUGCUUGUGGUGCUCAUCCAUAUCUACAUGUAUUUAUUUAUUGCACCACCACAUGUGUCAACAGACAUUCUUAUGGAAAGGAAGAUAUUUGAUGGGCCCAUUCCAACCACCACCACCACCUCCUUAGAUUGUUGUUUGGUUCAGAAAAAUCUCACUUGCCUCUACAUAAAAUGGUGCAACAUAGGAUAUUGAGUGUAUUCUAUAUAGUGUGGGAUUGGCAACACACACACACACACA
rnacentral:lncRNA from 1 species